CAAUGGGGGAACCCUGAUGCAGCGACGCAGCGUGCGGGAUGACGGCCUUCGGGUUGUAAACCGCUUUCAGCAGGGAAGAAGCGAAAGUGACGGUACCUGCAGAAGAAGUACCGGCUAACUACGUGCCAGCAGCCGCGGUAAUACGUAGGGUACGAGCGUUGUCCGGAAUUAUUGGGCGUAAAGAGCUCGUAGGUGGUUGGUCACGUCUGCUGUGGAAACGCAACGCUUAACGUUGCGCGUGCAGUGGGUACGGGCUGACUAGAGUGCAGUAGGGGAGUCUGGAAUUCCUGGUGUAGCGGUGAAAUGCGCAGAUAUCAGGAGGAACACCGGUGGCGAAGGCGGGACUCUGGGCUGUAACUGACACUGAGGAGCGAAAGCAUGGGGAGCGAACAGGAUUAGAUACCCUGGUAGUCCAUGCCGUAAACGUUGGGCACUAGGUGUGGGGGACAUUCCACGUUCUCCGCGCCGUAGCUAACGCAUUAAGUGCCCCGCCUGGGGAGUACGGUCGCAAGGCUAAAACUCAAAUGAAUUGACGGGGAAUCGAAUUCCCGCGGCCGCCAUGGCGGCCGGGAGCAUGCGACGUCGGGCCCAAUUCGCCCUAUAGGGNNGUCGUAUUA
rnacentral:rRNA from 1 species